CUCUUCUCACAUGUGACUGACAAUCAUCAGUCAGCAUUGCUUGUACAAGUUACUGUUCUUUAAAGCUGGGGCAGGUGGGCCAAACGCCAAAAUUACCUAAACAGCUUGAACUCCUGGUGUUUUCCUCCAAGCCAGUGAAAUGGGAAUAAAAUCUGCUAUCAAGGGCUCCCCCUACAGGCACCAAAAAGCAAAGGCUAAAAAUUAAGGUGGGUGCCAUUUACGCCUAGUAGAGAAUUGUUUCUUCUCUUGAAAAAGUUUCUAAGGCAGUCCUGAAACCACAACUUUGCUUGUUGACACAAUCCCUUUUCCAAAACUCUGGCCAAAGAGUCUUAAAAAUCUAAAGGACCAAGAAUCAAGCAACCUCUUCCUCUUGAUGUACUCACCUCCCACUUAAUAAAGGACCAAAUGUGAUUUUGAUACAAAUAGGACACAAAACGACCCUAGAGCUGUAACACUAUUUUUGACAGUCAUAAUUAUGGCACUUUUGAGUUUUCUUGUAGCUCAUUUCCAUCUCAUUUUUAGGAUUAGUGUGUAUUUGUGUGUGUGUGUACAUGCGUGUGUGUACAUGCACGCACCAAAACAACUUCAAUUCCGGACAUAAAAUCAAUGACAGUUUUAAAACCACUUGAUGGAAGGUUUGAGGGAACUUUUAUCAUUUAUUUAUUUUGUGCUACAAAUCAGGUAUAUUUAAUUCUCUGGGUUCGUGGAAUGAGCUUGGAUGGUUGCCUGCUCUCAAAGGCUAAAAAAAAAAAAAGCUUGGAUGGAUAAAUAAAGUUUCCAAGACAUAAAGAAACAGACAGACAGACAGCUUGUUUCAAAUUUGUGCUUCUAUUUCUCUCUGAGGGAUGGAAGUUCACCAACCAGAGAUGCACAUUUCCUCACAAAGGACACUUGAAGUUGUGCCCACAGAGGCAAAUGCUCAUAUGGAGACUCAAGAAAGCCUGGGGUUCAGAAGAGGCUUGAGAUCAUGUUAUGAGAAACAGCUGAAGAAAACGGGGGUGCUCAGCCUAGGGAAGACCAAGGGGUGGUAUGACAGGCUAACUUGGGAGGGCAACCAGCCUGUGUGGCCUCUCUAGUGGGCAGAGCUGUCGGAGGACAGAGUGGAUCUCACGUUCAGGAAGAAUGUUUUAAUAAUGAGCACUGCCCAUAAAGAAUAAGCUGCACAGGUCAGGGGUAUAUACCUCAUUUAGGCAGGGCCUGGAAAGGCCAGAUAGUGGGAACAUUGAAGAGACUCAGGAACUGGCAGAAAACUGAGCCAGAUUAUAUUUAACAUCCUUUUUAUUAUUUUUGUGGGUUUUUUUUGAGACAGGGUCUCACUCUGUCGCCCAGGCUGGAGUGCAGUGGCACGAUCUCGGCUCACUGCAACCUCUGCCUCCCAGGUUCAAGCGAUUCUCCUGCCUUAGCCUCCCGAGUAGCUGGGAUUACAGGCAUGCGCCAUUACCACCCAGCUAAUUUUUGUAUUUUAAGUAGAGGUAGGGUUUCACCAUGUUGGCCAGGCUGAUCACGAACUCCUGACGUCAAAUGAUCCACCCGCCUCCGCCUCCCAGAGUGCUGGGAUUACAGGCAUGAGCCACUGCGCCCAGCCUAAAAUCCUUCUUAGCUCUAAAAUCCUGAGACUGUAUAAUAAAACCCCAAACAAUUUAAUAGUCCUCUUGUUAUAAGGCCGUUGGUUACCAUCCCCCAGAGUCAUUGUUAACAUAUUCUUACAACUGUUUCCUAUGUGGUACUACAGAGGAUCCAUGUAUAAUUACUGUAUUUCUAAAACUAUAAUACAAUAAUUUAUUUAUGUCUUACUUCUUCCAUUAACCAUGAUUGCAACAAGAACUACAUCUUGUCAUCUUAUUUUAUCACCAAAACCUAACCCAUAGGUUCUCAAUAAAUAGUUGCAAAGUGAGUAUAUUAAAAAACAGUAAUUAUAGGCCAGGCACGGUGGCUCACACCCGUAAUCCCAGCACUUUGGGAGGCUGAGGUGGGUGGAUCACGAGGUCAGGAAUUCGAGACCAGCCUGACCAACAUGGUCUCUACUAAAAAUACAAAAAUUAGCCAGGCAUGGUGGCGCACGCCUGUAAUCCCAGCUACUCAGGAGGCUGAGGCAGGAGAAUUGCUCGAACCUGGGAGGCAGAGAUUGCAGUGAGCCGAGAUCACGCCACUGCACUCCAGCCUGGGCGAAAGAGCAAGACUCCAUCUCAAAACAAAAACAAAAACAAAAAAACAGUAACAAUUUUCUUGAACUUCUGAGGGUGAUUUCCUUUUCUGAUACAAAGACAUCCAAAGAAAUCUCAGAGAGUCUCUAUUUUAGAAUCAGUAUUAAAUAUAUAUACAUAUAUAUAUGUGUGUGUGACUAUGUCACAAAGUCUCUGAAACACAUAAGUUUAAUCUCAAAAACUAUCUCUACUUGUUUUUUAUUUGUUAGUUUCCUGAUAUAGGUUUGAUUUGGAAUCAAAUAGAAAGGUCAGGCUUUUCCAGACAGACAGGAAAACCAAUAUGAAUUACUGAAUAGAUCCCCUCAACUAGAAAGUCUCUGCUGGAAUGAACUUUGUCUAAUUUUAUCAAGUGCACCAAGAACAGCUUCUUUCAGAAAUUAUCGAGACAGCAUCACCUUUUGAUUCUUUAAUAUCAACAGAUCAAAAAGCAUUUGGUGAUUUCUCUGUAUUUUAUAUCUCUUUGUU
rnacentral:lncRNA from 1 species